GCACAAGCGGUGGAGCAUGUGGUUCAAUUCGACGCAACGCGAAGAACCUUACCCAGGCUUGAACAGCGAGUGACAAACUACGAAAGUGGUCUUCCGCAAGGACACUCGUAGAGGUGCUGCAUGGCUGUCGUCAGCUCGUGUCGUGAGAUGUUGGGUUAAGUCCCGCAACGAGCGCAACCCUUGUCUUCUGUUGCCAUCAGGUCAAGCUGGGCACUCUGGAGAGACUGCCGGUGAUAAACCGGAGGAAGGUGGGGAUGACGUCAAGUCAGCAUGGCCUUUAUGUCUGGGGCUACACACGUGCUACAAUGGCCGACACAAACCGUCGCAAAGCCGCGAGGUGGAGCUAAUCGGAUAAAGUCGGUCUCAGUUCGGAUAGCAGGCUGCAACUCGCCUGCUUGAAGUUGGAAUCGCUAGUAAUCGCGGAUCAGCACGCCGCGGUGAAUACGUUCCCGGGC
rnacentral:rRNA from 1 species